UAUUCUGGGAAGACGCGGAGGAUUUAGGUCCGCUAUUCUGGUCAUAGGGAUACAGAAACGCAAGAUCUUCUUUGGUGGGAUUUAGCAAAUACUAACACACAGAGUUCUGUUUUGUUUUCUUCACGUUGUGUCAGAUUACAUAGUGACAAAUGAUGUCAUUGUUGUUAAAUACUGGGACCUGAAUAAAGCUGUUCCAGAAAUUUCAUACUUUAUUGGAUCGCUGUGCUCAGGCAAUUGCUGUUUACUACCUGCUCUUAUUAUUUGUGAAUUGUGUUUUAUUUCGGGGGGAAAACGUUCAUGAAAUUCGAGCAUGUCAGGAAAACAUUACAAAGGUCCUGAAGUCAGUUGCUGCAUCAAAUACUUUAUAUUUGGAUUCAACAUUAUUUUUUGGUUGCUUGGAGUAGCCUUCCUUGGAAUUGGACUGUGGGCAUGGAGUGAAAAGGGUGUGCUGUCUAACAUCUCCUCCAUCACGGACAUGGGCGGCUUUGACCCCGUAUGGCUCUUUAUCGUGGUCGGGGGGGUGAUGUUCAUCCUGGGCUUUGCCGGCUGCAUCGGGGCCCUGAGAGAAAACACAUUUCUUCUCAAGUUUUUCUCUGUUUUCUUGGGGAUUAUUUUCUUCCUGGAGCUGACAGCAGGGGUCCUGGCUUUUGUGUUCAAAGACUGGAUUAAAGAUCAACUCAAUUUCUUCAUAAACAACAACAUCAGGGCGUACCGUGAUGAUAUUGACCUGCAGAACCUCAUUGAUUUCACCCAGGAAUACUGGGAGUGCUGUGGUGCAUUUGGAGCUGAUGACUGGAAUCUGAACAUUUACUUCAACUGCACAGAUACCAAUGCCAGCCGAGAGCGAUGCGGCGUGCCAUUCUCCUGCUGCACCAACGACCCUGCAGAGGAUGUAAUAAACACCCAAUGUGGCUAUGAUGUAAGGGCAAAAGCGGAAUCUGAACAACAAAACUUUAUCUACAUUAAGGGCUGUGUACCACAGUUUGAGAAGUGGCUGCAAGACAAUUUAACAGUAGUAGCAGGGAUCUUUAUUGGAGUUGCAUUAUUACAGAUUUUUGGGAUCUGCUUGGCACAGAAUCUAGUGAGCGACAUUGAGGCUGUGAGGGCCAGCUGCCACAAUAAGCAUUCUGCCUGUGUCAUUUAUCGAAGAUUUCAAGACAUACAGCCAGAUUGGUGAAAACAGUGGACUACAUUUGCACCAGUUUCAUCUAAAAUAAACUUGUUCACCUGAUGCAGAAUCCCACCUUGACCCUUGAUUACAUAGGUCUCUUCAAGCAUGACAGUUUUCCAGGCCAUAGAAAUGUCAAGUUCCACAAACUGAAAACUGUAAAAAGGGAAGUAUCUGCACUAUUGUUUAAUUAUAUGUAUAUAGAUUAUUCACACUUUUGUAGAAGUUACAUGAUGCCAAUUUUUGUUGAACUUCUGGCAGUGUCAAACACAUUCUGUAACUAAUUUAACUAAUCUGACAUGCACUGCAUGCCUAAAAAACCUUGCAUUUGUUUCACUCAUGUAUUCAGUGAUUAAAAAAAAUAAAAUUAUCAUCA